AGCGUUGUCCGGAAUUAUUGGGCGUAAAGAGCUCGUAGGCGGUUUGUCGCGUCUGCUGUGAAAACUCGGGGCUUAACCCCGGGCCUGCAGUGGGUACGGGCAGACUAGAGUGCGGUAGGGGAGACUGGAAUUCCUGGUGUAGCGGUGAAAUGCGUAGAUAUCAGGAGGAACACCGGUGGCGAAGGCGGCUACCUGGACAGAGUCUGACGCUGAGGCACGAAAGCUAGGGGAGCAAACAGG
rnacentral:rRNA from 1 species